rnacentral:misc_RNA from 1 species
CGCACAUUGCGCCCCUUGGUAUUCCGAGGGGCAUGCCUGUUCGAGCGUCAUUACAACCCUCAAGCACUGCUUGGUCUUGGGUUCCGCUGCUAACCCAGCGGGCCUCAAAAUCAGUGGCGGCGCCCUGAGGCUCUGAGCGUAGUAAAUAUUCCUCGCUAUAGGGUCCUCUUGGUGGUAGCCAUCAACCCCCAACUUUCUAAGUUUGACCUCGGAUCAGGUAGGGAUACCCGCUGAACUUAA